AACGGUCAUAUCACGUUGAAACACCGGUCCUCGUACGAUAACCGAAGUUAAGCAACGUCGAACCUGGUCUAUACCUAGAUUGGGUGACCGCUUGGGAAUACCUAGUAG